rnacentral:lncRNA from 1 species
AUCCAAGUGAUCGGGCUCUUCCGCUCUCGAGCUCAUCCAAGUGCUCGGGCUCGGGCUCUUCCGCUCUCGAGCCCAGAAGGCCGAGACCAGCGAGCCGAGCACAGCAGGCCGAGCACAGAAGGCCGAGACCAGGAGGCCGAGCACAGCAGGCCGAGACCAGAAGGCCGAGAUCAGAGAGCCGAGCACAGCAGGCCGAGACCAGAAGGCCGAGACCAGAGAGGCGAGCACAGAAGGCCGAGCACAGCAGGCCGAGACCAGAAAGCGCCGACCAGAGAGGCGCUCGACUAAAAGCGCCGACCAGAGAGGCAACCCCGCCACAGGACACUCCGCUAAGCAACCAGCUCGGCUCGGCACCCGUGCC